GAUGAACGCUGGCGGCGUGCCUAAUACAUGCAAGUCGAGCGAACGGACGAGAAGCUUGCUUCUCUGAUGUUAGCGGCGGACGGGUGAGUAACACGUGGAUAACCUACCUAUCAGACUGGGAUAACUUCGGGAAACCGUAGCUAAUACCGGAUAAUAUUUUGAACCGCAUGGUUCAAAAGUGAAAGACGGUCUUGCUGUCACUUAUAGAUGGAUCCGCGCUGCAUUAGCUAGUUGGUAAGGUAACGGCUUACCAAGGCAACGAUGCAUAGCCGACCUGAGAGGGUGAUCGGCCACACGGGAACGGAGACACGGUCCAGACUCCUAAGGGAGGCAGCAGUAGGGAAUCGUACGCAAUAGGCGAAAGCCUGACGGAGCAACGGAGCGUGAGUGAUGAAGGUCUUCGGAUAGUAAAAAUCGGUUAUUAGGGAAGAACAUAUGUGAAAGUAAAUGUGCAGAUCGUGACGGUACCUAAUCAGAAAGCCACGGCUAACUACGUG
rnacentral:rRNA from 1 species